rnacentral:rRNA from 1 species
UACGUAGGGGGCGAGCGUUAUCCGGAUUCACUGGGUGUAAAGGGAGCGUAGACGGCCAUGCAAGCCAGGGGUGAAAGCCCGGGGCCCAACCCCGGGACUGCCCUUGGAACUGCAUGGCUGGAGUGCGGGAGGGGCAGGCGGAAUUCCUGGUGUAGCGGUGAAAUGCGUAGAUAUCGAGAGGAACACUCGUGGCGAAGGCGGGUUCCUGGACAUUAACUGACGCUGAGGCACGAAGGCCAGGGGAGCGAAAGGG